AGUGAACGCUGGCGGUAGGCCUAACACAUGCAAGUCGAACGGCAGCACAGUAAGAGCUUGCUCUUACGGGUGGCGAGUGGCGGACGGGUGAGGAAUACAUCGGAAUCUACUUUUUCGUGGGGGAUAACGUAGGGAAACUUACGCUAAUACCGCAUACGACCUACGGGUGAAAGCAGGGGAUCUUCGGACCUUGCGUGAUUGAAUGAGCCGAUGUCGGAUUAGCUAGUUGGCGGGGUAAAGGCCCACCAAGGCGACGAUCCGUAGCUGGUCUGAGCGGAUGAUCAGCCACACUGGAACUGAGACACGGUCCAGACUCCUACGGGAGGCAGCAGUGGGGAAUAUUGGACAAUGGGCGCAAGCCUGAUCCAGCCAUACCGCGUGGGUGAAGAAGGCCUUCGGGUUGUAAAGCCCUUUUGUUGGGAAAGAAAAGCAGCAGGUUAAUACCCUGCUGUUCUGACGGUACCCAAAGAAUAAGCACCGGCUAACUUCGUG
rnacentral:rRNA from 1 species